rnacentral:lncRNA from 1 species
CCAAAUGACCGAUGCAUCGAAGAAAACACGGUCACCCGGACAUGUCCAUGGACUGUUGGGAGGUAGAAGUUCCUCUUGACAUAUGUUUUUGAUAGAGUUUAACUGCCACCAUGCGACCGUUAUGUUGAUUGUUCCGGCAAGAAUUGUACCGAUGAAUUGAACCAAGAACAUGGAUCUAGGUGGGAUCUUCAUGUAAUGACCAAGUUUGAAGUCAUUUAAGAAAGAGACUGCUUGUGCCAUACUCAUGUAUCCAUAGACUUUGAAGCAUACGUUUGCGAUAGGUCGUCCCGGGUAAAUGAGUCCCAUUGCGUACUCUGUUAUUAUAUUCAAUCCCGGUGUCUGCAAAACAAGUAAACAAUGAUUAGCUCGUUCUUUGCAAUAUAAACCAACCAUGGAUUAAUAUAUGGUCAAUAUUGCUUACUUGGUUAGUUGUUGCGGUUAUGAUGCUUAUCGGGAGUGUGAAGACGAAAGCCAUCGCGCUUGCGAACACAAGUCCCCACCAAGGCAUUUGAACCUCAUCGUUCAAGAAAACACAUAAUGCAAGAGAGAUAAGUAGUGUCGCAGCCAACAUUGAGUAAAACCACCAUGAAGGUAUGUCUUUAUAUCUCUUCAUUAACCUAGUGUGUAUAUCUUCCUUGCCUUUGUAUGAAACUCGAAACCUCUCAGAAAUUUCCCUGUUAAUACAAAAAAGUAAUGAUUCGAUUACAUAUAUGAUAUAUCACUCAUGCAUAUAAAAAUAAGAAUAUGUUGCUAUUUUGGUAGGCUACUUAUAAUACUUACUUGCCAUAGAAGAGAGCUACAUGAGUGAGCGUAGAAGCAAUGGUGGCGAAACCAAGCCCAUAGGUAAGAGCAAAGAACAUGCUCAAGUUAAUCCUUCCUUGUUGCUCAUACUUAGCUAAAUCGAGCUCAAAGUUAUCAUUCACGAUCGCAGGAAUAUCAUAUGUAUUACCAACCGAUGUGAAAAGAUGCGACGAAAAUAUAGGAAACCUCGUAGCGUUAUAAGAAUCAAAUCCCCAAUAGGCUAAAGGCA